rnacentral:rRNA from 1 species
GAUGAACGCUGGCGGCGUGCCUAAUACAUGCAAGUCGAGCGAACAGAUGAGGAGCUUGCUCCUCUGACGUUAGCGGCGGACGGGUGAGCAACACGUGGAUAACCUACCUAUAAGACUGGGAUAACUUCGGGAAACCGGAGCUAAUACCGGAUAAUAUAUUGAACCGCAUGGUUCAAUAGUGAAAGACGGUUUUGCUGUCACUUAUAGAUGGAUCCGCGCCGCAGUAGCUAGUUGGUAAGGUAACGGCUUACCAAGGCAACGAUGCGUAGCCGACCUGAGAGGGUGGUCGGCCACACUGGAACUGAGACACGGUCCAGACUCCUACGGGAGGCAGCAGUAGGGAAUCUUCCGCAAUGGGCGAAAGCCUGACGGAGCAACGCCGCGUGAGUGAUGAAGGUCUUCGGAUCGUAAAACUCUGUUAUUAGGGAAGAACAAAUGUGUAAGUAACUAUGCACGUCUUGACGGUACCUAAUCAGAAAGCCACGGCUAACUACGUG